UUCUUAUUUAAGGAGCUUUGGUGACUGACUGAAUAUGUGAGAACUGCAGUUGCUGAAUUGUGGCUUUAUUUUUGGACUGGUUGUAUUUGGUUUAGGGAGUAUAAUUUAGUAGGGAUGGUAGGAACAUGUUAUAACCAAUAUCCAGACACAGGUGAAUUGUCUUUAGUAAUCAUUUUAAUCAACACACACGGUUUACAGGUCUUUUUUAACGUUUAACCGCCAAAUCUCCUUCUACACGCUUCAUUUCCGCACAGUUUCAAACUGAGUGCUCCCCCUAGUGUUCAAGGCCAAAAAUCGCAUGUGUUAACGGUUGGACGGAAACAAUGGAAACGUCGAUUUAAAAGCUAAAUUCGUCUGUUUUGUCACCGUUCAAUCGUAUGGACUAUUAGGAGGUUGGUCUACCACGUAUAUGCAGCCAGUUUUGAUCAAUAUUUACCUUUAAAAAAGUAGGAAUCUCGUGUGUGUGUGUGUAUUCCGUUUAAAUUACACUGCUAGCAUGCUACCAAUGUUGGCUAAAUAUGGCGUCGAAGAGUUAGCUAGCUCGUUUGUUAUGGUAAAAAAAAAAAUCCUGUGGCACACACAUUGCGAAAUUCGCCGCAAAAUUUAUAUUUUUCAAUCUACUGGCAAAUUAAGGACACAAAAUAAAGGAAGGAUGAGUUUUGUAAACAUAACGUUGAUCAUGGGGGUUCCCGUGGUAAAGAAUGGACUUCCGGUGUGCGUUUAGCCGUUAGGCUAACUUGUUGAAACUCAGUCAAGAUGGCAGCCAAAGGAGAGGGGUAGAGAUACUUUACGACAAAUUAAAGUGUGACAGAAGUAACCUGACCGUGUAGCAGCGCUGACAGAGGUGGAGCGGCUGGUAACAGUCACAGCCUUCAGUACACGGACGUCUGAACUGAUCAGCUGUGAGUCCAGGUGUGCAGAGGUGCUCGUACCUGAGUGGCUUUGCUGUCUGAA